rnacentral:rRNA from 1 species
UACGGAAGGGGCGAGCGUUGUUCGGAAUCAUUGGGCGUAAAGGGCGCGUAGGUGGUUCUGUAUGUCUACCGUGAAAGCGUACGGCUCAACUGUAUUUUGUCGGUAGAAACUGCAGGACUUGAGGCUGGGAGGGGCUGGUGGAAUUCCCUGUGUAGCGGUGAAAUGCGUAGAGAUGGGGGAGAACACUCGUGGCGAAGGCGGCCAGCUAGACCAGUUCUGACACUGAGGCGCGACAGCGUGGGGAGCAAACAGG